UGACGCUGAAAGCUAUGCUACUAGGUAUUUCAAAUACCAGCAGAGUCAGAUUAAGACAAACUAGGAAGAAGGACUGGACACCCACUUCCAAAAGAAUUGGCCACAAAAACCCUGUGAUUAGCAGCAGAGCAUUGUCUGAUACAGCGCCGGAAGGUGAGAGGAUGGUGCAAACAGACCAGGCAGGGUUCUGCUCUACUGUACAUAGGGGCACUAGGAGUCAGAAUCAACUUGAGAGCACUAACAAAAAAAUAAGUGGCUAGGGUAGAUGAAGGCGGAACUGAAAAUAUCAGAAAGGAGACAUGAGCAGCCAAGGUGUGACCUUUAGGUAUGUUGAUGAUGAAAUCCUGUAGGCAGCUGGAAAUGUGAUGGAACUGGGGAGCACGUUCGGGAACCCUCAGCAGGUGUUGAAGCCACGGAGUGUGGGAGAGCUUCCAGGUGACAGAUGAAAAUGCCCCAGCCUUUGGCAGAGCGCAUUCUGUGACCACGGGCUUCCUAGGCAGAAUCGUCAUGAACAACUGUGAUAGAAGCACUGAGGAAAGACCACGUGGGGACACAGCAAAAGGCAUCCAUCUACAAGUCAGGAAGAGGACCCUCACCAAUGUGCCAAGUCUCCCAGCAGCUUGAUCUUGGACUUCCAGCCUCCAGAACUGUGAGAAAUAAACGCCAGAUGUUUAAGCUGCCCUGUCAUGGUAUUAGGGCAGCCCGAGCUAAGGCAGCAGUUUUCCUUUAGAAUGCAAAGCACAGAAGCUGCUAGACCCCUAAAAGUAAAAGCCAUUCCCUGUGCUGUGAGGAAGCGCAGAGUCAGCUCUGAAUUACUCAUUCAUGGGAAGAGCUGGCAGUGGUGGUGUGGACAAUCUAAUACACCAGAAAAACUUCAGAGGUCUUCAUCUGGUCUAAGAAACGCUAGCGCUGCCCUUAAAUAUUUCAGGAGUGCCUCAGACGAGAAAGCAUCUCUUCAAAACAAUUCAAC
rnacentral:lncRNA from 1 species